UGCAGAAGCACAGCUGCAGAAGGCCGCUAACACAGACUUCUAAGAGUCAAACAGAACAAGGAUCUCAGCCCUAGUAUUUACUUUUAAGGAGUGAAGCGUGUUGGCUUUUCACAUAUACUACUUCCAGUUACUGCAGUUCUGGUUCUCCAGCACAGCAAUUUGAGGUCGCACAAGAGCUUCUGAAGGCUGCUGGUGGAAAGCAGUAUCUUCUAGGAUACAAGAACAGGUCAAAAGUUACACAGGAACAGAAGAAUCAGACCAGUAUUUGUGGCAUCAUUUUAGAAUAGGUAUUCAAGUGUUCCACAGAUACAGUGACACUGCAUCAGAAGCAGUAAGGGUGGGAACAAGCAGGUUCCUGCAGCGUCCCAUAUGCAUUAUUCAAUUUCUAUGAAUCAAGCUGUAAGAAGAAAACGGGGAAAGCAUGCUUUCUGGUUCAGCCUGAGCGAGGGAUACAUUCAUUUGGUCUUCAUGAACCUCCUCCUGGUAGGCUUUGUGCAGGCAGGGCACAACAGCCAGAAGAACAGAGGCAAAUAAAAAACUGUUUUAUUCUUAAAACGAAUCUAUAAAUAAAAAUCUAGACGUACAGCAUGCAAUGUUUCGGACCAGUUCUGUUUGCCAUCAAGUAGCUGCUGCGAGGGGAUGCUUACCCAUGUGCAAACGGCCCAAAGGCCAAAAGCGUCUGCAGCUGACAGGAGUCGGCAGGCAUCUGGCAGACUGCUGACUGCAGAACGGGGCACGUGCUGUGCCAUUUGAAAUCUGCACCGCAAAAUCUGCUUUUAUUUUUCCUGGUACUUAAAACCAGUGCACCUUGGAAAUGGGUGAGAAAAGGGAGAAGCACAUACAAACUUUCUGGGGUUAUUACUUCAUUUUUACAGGUGUAGGACACCGC